GAGCUUGCUCCGGACGACCUAGUGGCGAACGGGUGCGUAACACGUGAGGAACCUGCCCCGAUCUCUGGGAUAACAGUUGGAAACGACUGCUAAUACCGGAUGCCGUCACCUCGCCUCCUGGCGGAGUGACGAAAGAUUCAUCGGAUCGGGAGGGUCUCGCGGCCUAUCAGCUAGUUGGAGAGGUAACGGCUCACCAAGGCAUCGACGGGUAGCUGGUCUGAGAGGAUGAUCCGCCACACUGGGACUGAGACACGGCCCAGACUCCUACGGGAGGCAGCAGUAGGGAAUCUUCCGCAAUGGACGAAAGUCUGACGGAGCAACGCCGCGUGAACGAUGAAGGUUUUCGGAUCGUAAAGUUCUGUUGUUAGGGAAGAACACGUACCGUUCAAAUAGGGCGGUACCUUGACGGUACCUAACGAGAAAGCCCCGGCUAACUACGUGCCAGCAGCCGCGGUAAUACGUAGGGGGCAAGCGUUGUCCGGAAUUAUUGGGCGUAAAGCGCGCGCAGGCGGUCUUUUAAGUCUGAUGUGAAAUCUUGCGGCUCAACCGCAAGCGGUCAUUGGAAACUGGAAGACUUGAGUGCAGAAGAGGAGAGUGGAAUUCCAUGUGUAGCGGUGAAAUGCGUAGAUAUAUGGAGGA
rnacentral:rRNA from 1 species